GGGGCCGUAGCCAAGUGGUAAGGCAAGGGACUGCAACUCCCCGAUCGGUGGUUCAAAUCCGCUCGGCCCCUCCA
rnacentral:tRNA from 1 species